rnacentral:rRNA from 1 species
AAUCGCCUCGCGAUCACAUCACAGAGCACCUGCGGGCGCUCGCUCCCCUCGGGGGGCGAGGGCCCGCCGUUUACAGGAUCCGCCGGCGCGUGAGCUCCCCUCGGGGGGCGACCGCGCCGGGCCGGAGCCCUAACCCAUUGAACCCUCUGCCCUGAAGCAGCUUCGCACGGGGACACCCCUGCGAUAGUAACUGAGACAACUCUCAACAACGGAUAUCUUGGCUCUCGCAACGAUGAAGAACGCAGCGAAAUGCGAUACGUAGUGUGAAUUGCAGAAUUCCGUGAGUCAUCGAAUCUUUGAACGCACAUUGCCGGUCGACUCUUCGGAGGAAACCACAUCUGCCUCAGCGUCGGAAUACCCCCUCACGCACCCCCGCGUGGACCUGGCCCCCCCGGACGCCUCGGCGCCCGGGCCGGCUGAAAUGCAGAGGCUCGUGCGCGGCCCAUUCGUGGCCCCGACUAGGUAGGUAGCUCGCUACUUCUAGGCGGUGGCUCGGUGUCGCGUGCUGUGGGCCCAAAAGGAUACCAAUCCAUUGAUUCGACCUGAGUUCGAGUGAGGCUACACGCUAAGCUUAAGCAUAAGGUUAUGAAAUUC